CGGGGUGAAGCUGGCGGCCGCCAUUUUGAGAAAGGGCACAGCAGAUCCGAACCGGUGGGGAGGUGCGCUGCCGUGCUGGAGGGCGGCGCUGAAGAGCGGGUGAAGCCAUUGAGGAGCCACGUUGGGUGUGGGAAUGUUGCUGGGUAGAGGCGGCGUGUUUGUAUCGCGGACGGACGGAGCUUCUCUGUAGAAAAAACGCUUGCUACAGCGUGAGCGCUGCUGGCGAUAUUUAUGACAAAGCGACCUCUUACAGGAUCCACAUCCGGGGAAUGACGUUUUUCAGUACAUCUUUCCAGGCCUGAAUCCCUCGUCCUCUAGGCACUGAUACAAGAUGUAGAGAUACUGCUAAGCUUGCUAAUGCUCGUGGAUGGGCAGUCCUGUAGUCUGCUUAGAAAGCAGGAGGAGUCCUGUGACACAUAGUGAUACGGUCUGGAUUACCAAUUGGGAUCAAUAUGUAAGCUUAAGGACCAGUAUAUGGAUUUAGUGAAUGGAUGAUGUACUGACCCCUGGAUACCAGGUGGAUAAGGAGGUUUGGUUGAGUCAGCCAGCUUUGUGGAUGCAAGUACUGUGCCAUCAAGGCACAGAGCUGACUGAGCAUGAGUGGAGACUGGGUCCAACCAGCGGUCUCAGUGAGGAAGACAGCUGACUUCAUCCAGAGGGUCUCAGGACCACUGCCACAAAGAGAUGGAGCGUGUGCAAGGAGGCGGAAGCCAAUGUAAAUGGUAUUGGGGAAAGUAUUGAAUACGUAUGUACUGCCUGGGAAAGUCUUUGUGUGUGUAACACAAGUGGUGUACACAAGCUGAAGAUCUUUUGUACACAUGAUGAGGUGGAAGGAUCCCCUCGUGCAUCUGGGGCUGAAAAUAAAGAAUGCCUGCAGCUUAACACUCCGACUUGAGCCUGAGCUUCUUCAUUGACCGAUUUACGGUAUCAGUAUGGUCGGCACUUACUAGGAGAAAACUCCAGUAGGGUGGAAGGACCUUUGAUCUUCUGUACAAGCAGUGCUGCAGGGUGGGGCACCCAGGGAGAGGCUGUGCCCUGAGGAGUGCUGGCAGGAGUAGCUGACCCUAGAGUCAUAGCAUGGCUUGUGUUGUCAGGGACCUUAAAAAUAGUGAGCUCCAACCCCCUGCCAAGGGCUGGUUGUCAGGAGACUAGUGAUCGGUCUGGUUAUAUCACAUCAAAAUCCUAGAAGUGGAGCUUUUUGACUACUGACCUUGGUGUACUGCAGCACGUACAGCAUGCUUUCUGUGUGUUUCAGGAGGAAACGCUGGGAGAGGCAGUGGCUGACAUCAUGCAGGCAGCGUGUUAAGAGCUGUAGAGAAGCCUGCUUUUCCAUUCUUUUGUUCACAGAGAAUGCCAUCAACUGAGGGACUGCACGUCUUGUCCAUGUCGCUCAGAAAUUUCAUGUCUCAAUGCUGACAUGACCUGACUAACAUCUCCUGUUUCUUUCUUUCUUUUCUUCCAAACACUCAUGAAACAUUUUGCACUGUACAGUAGUAUCAAGCAUUAACUAAGCGAGUCGUGCCAAAGGCAGAAUUACACUCGUGGUCCUCAUUCACAUUUCUUCCAGCAGACUGCACAACACAGCACACCUGGAGUGUGCAAAUAAAGAAAGGAUUGCUAUCAUGAGAAAUUAGCUAUUUGGGUGAUUUCUUAAAUUAAUACAACAAUUUAUUCCUGAUAGAAGGCUUCAGCAGUGUAACUCAUUCUCUUUUUCACUCGUAGGAGCCUAAAAAUGUUGGCUUUCAAAACUCAUGCUUCCAUCCUCUGCUGUGCUGAAUGCCCCUCCUUUCACUGUAAAGAAUAACAUCCUUGGAGUCUGUCUUGGUGGAAAGGAUAGUUGGACUACAAAGAACUUUAUUCUGGGUUAGGAAUCUCAAUCUGGCUUUUUACCUGUAAAUUCAGAUUUUUUUUUUUUCUUUACAUCUUUGUCCACAAUGUAAGUAUAUCUGAUCUGAACCUUCUGUAAACUGAAAUACAACGGAUAAAAUUACUGAGGACUUAAAAUAUUCAUUAUUUCUUUCGUAGAAUGUUUUCCGCUGUUGAUGCUUUUUGGUUUCAGCUGUUCCUUCUUAGUUGAACAGUAAUCUACGCCAACCCAAAAAACAGUUCUAUGACUAAUUUGAAUUAUAGCAUCUAUAGAAAUCUCAAAUAAAAAAAAAGAAAAAAAGAAAAAAAAUCUGCUAUAAUCAGAAAUUGAAUUGUUCCAUUCUGAUGCAGACAAGAGUUGCUGUUUUGCGUGUAACUUUACUUCCAGAAACAUACAGAAUGCAUCAACUCCCCUCUUGCUUCCUUUGAUUCUUCAGUCCCCUUAUCAGCUGUUCAGUGAAGACCUUGUGAAAUACAUCAAUUACAUUUCUCCAUUUCUAACAAUGAUAAAAGUAGCUUUUUCUUCUGUGACCUGCAGGAACCCCUCAACUGCCCACCAGACACUGUUCUUAGUAGAUGCCAUGUUAGGAAAAGGCAGGUGCUGAUGAGGUGGAAAAGUGGAAAAAUAACCCCGAAAAUGAGAGAAAAAACUCUAGAAAAGGGGGAAUCUCCCUCCCGGAAAAUCAGAAACGGAACAGAACCCGGCGUGCCCCCACUCCACGCGUUUCCAGCCAAUCGUCCUCUGGCUCCGCAGGAAGUUUUCCUUUCCCUCUGCAAUUCCUUGCGGCAGCGCCCAGCCCCGUUUUGGAUUCGCUUUCCUUCUUUUCGCUGUUACCGAGGUCGGCUGAAUCCCCGCUCCAAGCACCCACAGUGAUGGACCCAUAGGUCCCCAGCCUCCAAUUUAACGAUAUUUUCUCUAUUUUGUGAAAAUUUGGCUCAAAAUAAGCCGUUUUAGUAAUCUGUUUUAAUACCUGUUAUUAUAUAUUUUCUGCUAUAGCAGUAAUUGCUGCUAACUGCACUAAUUUGUUGGAGUUGGGGUUUUCUGUGCAAUCCAGCCUGAAAGCAACGACCUUGGGACCAGCAGAUUGUCGCCCCGCUGCCACCACCCAUGUGGACGCAGGAUGUCAGCAGGGCCAUCGGCCCCUCUGAGGUGUCCCCAGAGCUGCUGCAGCCCCUGGUGACUGUGGUGGCCACCUUGGGCAAGUUGGGGACCAUCCCUGGUGACAUCUCCCUGGGAGGGGACAUGGGCUCACUGCGGGCCAGGCUACUGACCUUCAGCUCUGGCGUGCGCAAAGCCAUGGUGCACCCAGAUGGCGAUGCCACCCUCCUCCGGCGUGCCCUGGGGGCAUCCAAGGAACAGCCCAGUGCCCCCACAGCCAUCACUGACUCGUGGCAGAACGCGGUGACUGCAGUGAAGGACAUCUGGGCCAAGCUGCAGGAGGAUGCUGCAUGCCUGAAGAAUGCCUGUGAGACUGUGGCCACUGCCAAGGCCACCAAUGAGGCCACCAAGGGCCACUUGGUGGAAGCAGUGACACGGGAGGACAAAGCACAUAAAGGGUUGAUAGCUGCCACCAGGGUGGUGCCGUUGUCCUCAGAGGUGGCCCAGGUGACAGAGGUGGUGGCAGCCCAUGAUGCGCGGGUGGCAGAGGCCAGGGAAGGGCUGCAGGCAGCCGCCAAGGCCACUGAGGAGGUGGCAGCGGCAGUGGUGGCAGCAAUAGCAGCGAAGGAGAGGGGACAACAUGCAGCAGUGGCCCAUGGGCUCCUGGAGCAGUUGGUAGCCGCCUGUAUGGGGGCCUAUAACUACUACAGUCAUGUGGAGCAUUGCCUCAGGGACAUCAAGGCCAUGGUGGGUGUCACUACUGGAGGUGGUGGCCCUGAUGUCCCCAAGGCCACCCAAGGGGACAUGGGUAUCCCCAAGGAGCUAGCAGAGAUAGUGGUGGUGGCUGAGGCGCUGUGGGACGCCAGUGCCCGCCUGGCCCAGGAGCACCUCUUGGGGACACUGCGGGGUGUUCGGAGCCUGCUGGCCACCUCCAGUGUCACUGAGGCCACCAAAGUCACCCAGCGCUGCCAAGAGGCCACCAACGCCCUCCCUGGGCUGCUGCCACCGGGGCUGUGCUAGGGGACAAACACGUCCAUCAGGGACCGGUGGUAUCAACAACACCAUGAGAUCAUGGAGACAGCAGAUGGGGCCGUUAGGACCACCAUUCCAACCACCAAUGGAGUGAGGGCUGUCAUGAAAUAUCACCUCAGUGUCACCUCCGUGCAUCCCCUCAACACCUCCAGGGAUGCCAGCACUUCCUGGUAAAAAAUGGGAAAACAGUUUUGUUUUAUAAAAAUUAUUUUGUUUUAAAAAAAUGGUUUUGCUUUAUAAAAAUGUUAUCACCUGACAAGGUUCUGGCUCCGUGUCACUUUAUCCCUAACAUGUCAGCAGGAUCCUCACACAUCUCCUCCUGUGUCCCCUUCUCAUGUUUAUCCUCCUAUUCCUGUCCAGGUCCCUAUGUAUCACCUUCUCAUGUGCCCCUUUCACAUCCCUUCUAUGUCCCUAUAUGUCACUUCUGCUGUGUCCCUUCCAUGUUGCCGUUAAAACCAAAAGUGAUAGUCCUAUCACUGUCAACCCUCGUAAACAGUCAUUCCCCCUCCUGUUUAUACGCUCCCUUCAAGUACUGGAAGGCCACAAUGAGGUCUCCCUGGAGCCUUCUCUUCUCCAAGCUAAACAAGCCCAGUUCCCUCAACCUUUCUUCAUUGGAGAGGUGUACCAGCCCUCUGAUUAUCUUAGUGGCCCUCCUGUGGGCCUGCUUCAAGAGCUCCAGGUUGCAGUCAAGUGAUAAAAAUAUGUAUAAAAGAUGCAUUGCAAAACUCCUGGGUGUGCUAGCUUUGUGCACCUCAGCAAUAAAUCAGCGUCUCAACUGCGUGUGAGAUGGGCUCACUGCAUACUGUGAACAAAUCAGCUUUUUG
ensembl:lncRNA